AUUGAACGCUGGCGGCAUGCUUUACACAUGCAAGUCGAGCGGCAGCGCGGGGGCAACCCUGGCGGCGAGCGGCGAACGGGUGAGUAACGCAUCGGAACGUAUCCUGUAGUGGGGAAUAACUCAUCGAAAGGUGAGCUAAUACCGCAUAAGCUCUGAGGAGGAAAGCGGGGGGACCGAAAGGCCUCGCGCUGCAGGAGCGGCCGAUGUCCGAUUAGCUAGUUGGUGAGGUAAAGGCUCACCAAGGCGACGAUCGGUAGCUGGUCUGAGAGGAUGAUCAGCCACACUGGGACUGAGACACGGCCCAGACUCCUACGGGAGGCAGCAGUGGGGAAUUUUGGACAAUGGGGGAAACCCUGAUCCAGCCAUGCCGCGUGAGUGAAGAAGGCCUGG
rnacentral:rRNA from 1 species